UCAGGUAUCUCGUGGGACUUCAUCCUGGCAUGUGUUUGUAGAAGUUCAUGAUGAAGCAGAAAAUUGAAUCCUUGCACCUGGGGGACUGUGUUAGCACCUUAUCAGCCAAGCAGUUUUAUUUACCACAUGUUCCUGCUUAUGGUUUCUGGAGAAUCUGGAAGAAAGGAGGAAAGUGGUGGUUAUGAAAAGGGAUGUUCUCCAGGUUGGUGAGAUUGGCUCGCGCUCUGUUACCACAUCGCCUCUUCCUGGCAGAAUGGACACACUGGUGGUAUUCCUUGACUUUCUUGAGCUCCCAUAUUAACUCUGGAUGUCACAUUCAGCAGUGGAUUGUGAAAUGCUUGAAAACAGGAAUCAUAGGAGCAUUAUUUAAUGCUAAGUGUUAUCCACAUCAUAUCUGAAGCUUGAACAUGCCAGGAAAGCAUCCUUCACAUUCUGCAGCUAAUCUGUCCGGGCUUUCAGGAUCAAUCGUAAAUUGGCCGGAGGCAGCGUGAACCCCAUAUAGAAGUGCUGCUCAGAUGACCAGCCUUACGACAUGUCUGCUGUCUGACUGCUUGGCUUGACACUAAGGCCACCCUUGCCACUUGUAUUGGUCUCAGAUUCUUCUUCAAAUUGCCAGCACCUUCAGGACUUUUCUCCCAAAUGAGUCUCCAGCGGAAUUCCACCGAGGGCAGAGUUUGUCUGAUCCUGCUGAUGGUCGGGUGUCUCCUCACCUCCCUGGGGUCCCUCCAAGUGAGAGCUGAGCACACCAGCACAAGAAGUUGCUGCCUUCUCUGCCAUGCCUGACUUGUGUCUAAACUAAGAGCUGAGAGCACGGAGGUUAAAGGCUCCCUUGUGGCUUUUUGUUUGUCCUAUAACAUACACUCCUUUCUCCGUCUCUUCUCUGUCCUUCUGAAUCAGCAGAUCAUUGUGCUUUGCCUUUUUUUGGUCCCUACCCUCUAUUGAAAGAUGUCUGAAUUCAAGGGAUGUGCCUUGCAUCAGGAGAUCAGUAAGGUUUGUUCAGUGUCCCUUCUGGAGCACCUUUUUUCUGAUACCACGACUUACACUUCAGAUUGUGGUUUGUAUUACUGCUUGUCCUUUACAUAUACUUUGUUUCCUCCUUCAUGUGAGGGAGAACAUUUUUUCCUAUUAAGUGAUUCCUCAUCCCAGGAUUUAAAUAGAUUGGCAAUUUUUCUUUUUUACCAGCACUAAAUUCUCACAAAAUAACAGAAAACCAGGCCUAUACACUGUCAAACUGACACUCUCACAGUGUGAUGACCCUCUUUCUGUCACCUGCCACAUUUUUCAUGUUCAACCUACAGCUGUGAAACUGUUUUUUCUUCCUCGCUUCCAACAACAAAGUCCAAAGAACACUCAUCAGUUUGAUGCCUGUCUCAAUUUGCAGAACAUCCUUGGGACAGAAAUAACAUUGAGAGAAGAGUCUUCUUGAAAGCAGUAGGAGCCUUUCAUUGCCGGCUCCUCCAGUGGUCUGAGAUAGUAACAGCCAUGCUGUAAACUUCAUUUAAUUUGUAUAGGCCUGUUCCAGAGCCGCCUCAUUGACUUCAGGGGGCAUUGGAUCAGGCUGUAUGUUAGCUACAGCAGCGCUUUAUGACUCAGUAUCACUGCUUUGGAACAGUCUCUGUCAGAUCAGUCAAAUUUUCCAUUGAAACAUUCUGUGAGGGGAAUGAGAAAUGUUGUUCAGCUAGCUGCCUAAGAAAAAUGUCUGAUUUUUCACUUUAUUUUUUUUUUUCUUUCGCAAAGAACUUUCCCCUCCACCAGUAGAAACUUCUGGGUUUCAGGUGGGACACUCUGAGUGUCUUAUAAAGAGUUGAAAAUACCUGCUGAAAACUGAAUUUUUAACAGCCAGUCCUGCUCAUGUUUGCGUGUUCUUUAUAGCCCUUCCAUCCAUUUCCAUGAUGUUACCUGAAAUGAGAGGAAACAGAUUUUUCAGAAGUAAAAUUUGCAGACCACAUUUCCAGUUAAUCUUCCAUAAUAGCAGUUGCUAUUGUAUGACUCAGUGACCUGUGACUAAAUAACUAUAAUAGUAGAAUCAUUUUAGCCUAACAGCAUAAAAAUCAAAGUUAAAGCUGUGACUGUAAAGCAGUAUUUGUUACAUGCUGAACAUAUACUUUAUUAGAGAAAAGGAGGCUUUGUUUGCAUUGCCAAGCUAAAGUAUAUACUUACCUCUUUGCAUGUAAAUGAUUUCCAAAAGUUGCAUUUUUGCUUGUAUUUUUUCUGUUUUCAGAACUCAAACAUGAGUUCUGUGAUCUGGCGUGUGUUUCCUCUUGGUUCUUUUAUGUGUGGAAAUGAUUACAGGUGUGAAGCUGAUCUAUCCAUAUAACACAUCUACUGUUGCUCUGACCUCAUUCCUUAUCUACUCCAGGGUUUUAGUUGUUGAUCCAUCCGUCUUGCACCUAAUGGUAUUUCAUGUCAGGACUAAUGGGAUUAUUUUCUCUUCAUACAGAGUAGCUUUUUGGUCACAGUUUUCUUCCAACCUUCUCCUUUAACUAUUAGGGAGAUGUGCAGACCUACAGAAAGACUUCAGCCAGCAGGAGAAGAAUAUGUAUCUGAGCACUGGCAGAAGCAGACAAGUGCAUAGUGAAGUGCAAGAAACUGUGAAUAGAAAUGCUGAAGUAUCCCUUAAUAUCCAUCUGAUUAUCUUUCACCCUAAUGACAGGGAAAGAUAGAAGGGCUGAUCUGAGCAAAUAUAGGUAGAGGUAGGUGGAGCUUUAUCUUGUGUAAGUCGACAGAUCUUCAAUGUCUUCAUGGGAGCUAUGAAAACCCCUACUGGUCUCCCUAGAAACUUAGAGUUUCACUUCUUUGAUGGAGUUAUGACUAAACAAGGAGAAGUUGAGAUGGAGUAGACUGAAGUUACAGAGCACACCGUGGCACACAGUGGUGAAAUCAGCUCAUUAGCAGAAAGAACUUCCUUCAUCUCAGUACUCAGAAAAAGAAAAGAAGUAAAUAAUAAAUUGUUGUCAGUUUACGGUUUUGCUCUUCUCCUCUUGUUGGUUUUCUCCCCCUUUGUUCUAGGAAUUCUAUAGUCGUGUUCUGAGGAAUAAUCAAUUAAUGCUUAGAAAGCAAUUAUAAUGAUUCCCACUUUACACAUGAAUAAACAGAACGUAGUUUAGGUGCCUGAGUCACAAUCGUUUUCUGAGUCUGAUCGGGCAUGGACAGCAAUAAAGAGCCUGUCUCAGCACUUGUGCUCUAAUUGCUAUUUUGCCAGGAAAGUUGGGAUCGGAGAUCAAACAGACAGAAAUGAGUUAUGAAGCUCUCUGAAUGUAAAUUGCAGGGCACUUCGUGAAAAAAAAAAGAAGCCAUUCAGUUUAUUCUGUAGUGAUUUCAUAAGUAUUACAUGGCAAAGGCACGAUUUGCUUGAGGUUUCACUGGAUGACUGAGAGUUGCACCAAGGAGAGGACCUGGGAGUUGUGAUGUUAGUGCUGUGCUGUGCGUAACCACACACCCAUCCUUCUUGCUUCUUGAUACUUGAUAUUUUAAUAUAUUACAGAGUACCUUAUCAUAUUAGUCUGUAUGUAAUCCUUUCUUACGUGUUCAGUCUGAAACAUGGUUAAUGUAAAAUUGUCUUUUUCAUGUGUGUCAUAGCUCAUAAUCUCUUGCUUUUAUAGGAGAAGUCAAAACCUCAAUUCACACGACUGGUCUGGUACUAUAAUCGCUCAUGGAUGCUAUUCAUAGUUUUCCAUAUCCACUCUGUGACUUUUGUACUAUGUGGUGUGAUAGAAGAGGACAUCUUACAAGGGUCACUUUAUCUCUCUUUUCUCCUCCAGCGAUGAAGAUGUUACAGCAAUGCAAAACCAGGUCAGAAUGAAUUUUCCUCUGUUCUGAGGACAUGUUGUUGUUGUUUGAAAACUCUCAGAGACCAUAGAACUGCAGAAGAACAAGCACAAGCCUUGCUAUCCUACUUCAUGUCCAAUCAGCCAAAUGAGCAAGCCAGCUUUUGAGUCCUCCAGGGUCAUUUUAUUUUUAGGGCUGAUGCCUGAAGCAGGAAGAAAACAGCAUGAUCUGUAGGUUCUGCUUUGAGCUUCCAGUGCUGGCAGCAAAAAAUAACUUAUUUUGACAUGCAAGCUGAGUUUAACCAAUGGAAAAAAACCAUAUAGGCCAGUUUUCCCUCUGUUUUGUGCUGUUAAUCUACGCUCAAAUCAAGCUGAAGCAGGGGCAGGAAGCCUGACAAUACCUCCCCUUGUCUAAUGCCAGCCGUCGCAUUUGGAGCGCCUUGGCUUCCCAAGGGCGAUCUUAUCAGGAGAAGUCGUCUUAAAAAUAAGUUUAGAUGAAGGAAAAAGAAAGUUAAAACAAAAUCCCUGCUUAUCUUACGACACUGAAAUAUCCUUACUGGGACAAAGCAAGAUACCUUAUGAUGCAUGCACGUAGAAGUGGAGAUUCAGUGGAAAAAACGACCCAGCUUUGCUUUGAGCCUUCCAUUCAUGAGAUUAUUUUUGCUCCAUGUGCUGUGUUCCCUGCGCUCCCAUGUGCAGGUCUGUCCGGCUUGGCACGGCUCUGGUCAGGAGUGUUGCAUGCUGGAGUGACUGGAGCUAUAUGGAAAACUUGGGGCUGAUGCUUCAUGUAUGAACCUGUAACAGAUGCCAUAUAGUCAAAAGCCAUCAGCGAGAGAGGCCUGCAAACAUCACUGUAUGUGAUGUCUUACGACGUCAAGAACUCAAGGCAUCCUGUAAGCACAAGGUCUAGCAGGACUCCUCCAGUGGCCUUUGCUGACAUCCAUGGAGGUUUUGUCUUUCUGGGCACUGUGCUCUGGAAGAUCGCUGCUUUGCCCUGGUCGGAAGGGCUGUUGGUCAGAUGGCGUGAAUUCUGCAGUUGAUUUAUAAAUCGGAACAGAAUCAGAACCCAACUCCAGCUUAAUAACAUUAACGUGACGUUACGCAGUGCCGUUCCUCCCCGGCGAGGCAGCGCACAGUGCUGACGUACCCGAGCCCUCUGCGGUGGAGCCAGCUCACGACUUGCGAAGGGCCUUGAACUUCUGGUGGUGACUUUGACUUACGAGAGAAAGCGUUGAAAAGGAGAAAAGACUAUAUUUUAUGAGUGAUGGUUAAAAGAAAAGAAUAUGCAUUUCCUAAGGGGUGGACCAACCUUUUUAUAAAAGAAAAUACAGAGAACAUAAAAGGCUUGAUUUGAUGGUAUCAAUGACAUCAAAGCUCCUAGGUCAGUACAGCUGGAAUCCACUGCCAAGUCGAAGAUCCUCAGAACAGCCCCCAGAAUAUGCUCUCUGAUAUUCUGCACAGCGCAUCCUAUUCACAGGUCUGCGUUUCUGAAGAUUUGCCCCUGUAUGCCUGCAAGAAACAUAGAGAAGAAUACAACCUUUGGAAGGUUAUGCCUAAGAAUAUGCCUAUGAAGGGAAAAGUAAGAGCACUGAGUAACUGAACGGGUUGAUCUGUCCCUCACCAGACAUCACCGUCUCUCCAUAAGGAGACGAGGCAACUGGCAGAAGGCAUCACUGUCAUCCCAAGAAAUCUCUUUCCUCUACAACUGAAGAUUUUAAGAAAUGAGUCUGAUUUGCCCUGAUCUACACCAAGAUAAAUCCAUACGUUGGAAAGUGGACAUAGGAAGAAAUCACUGGCGCUGCAGGAGACCUCUGGAGUCAUACUGGUUGCAGUGGGAGACAUCGAUGCACAGGGACAAAGCAGUAUUUGCUGUAGCUGCAGGAAUGGAGCUUCAGGUACCGGGAGGCCUCUGGAGGCCAGGCUGGCAUCAGCCCCCUUUGUUUUAGUCCGGAGACUGAGGGAGUGCAAAGAUAUUGUAAAAUUACGCUUACCCUUGGGAUUUGAUUCUGGAGCACGUGUGUUUCACUGAGAUUAGAAUUACAAGGUCACUCACUUCUGAUUUACACCAGAAACAGGCCCAAAUAAGAUCAAACGAGAUCAGUACCUUGUUCGACAAAUAGCGUUCUGCUUAUUUUUGCUAUUAGAGAUGAGUCAAGAGGAAAAAAGUGCAGCAGAAAGGGGUCAAAAUACCCUGAGGCUAAAUUGAAACCGGAGGCAGUCCAUGUUAAAAACUUGGGCGUACCUAAAGUUAGUACAUUCAGAUCUACUCUUAUAGAUACCUAAACCCAGAUCCUCAAGGCUGCCUUGUUGGCAAGCUCCCGCUCGGGUGCUUCCCUCCCAUUGAUAACACCACGCGCUAAUUCAGGCACCCGAGUUUUGAAGUGAUGUUCGUACUAUGAAGAACAGUUGGUCUUAAGGGAAAACAUUUACAUAAUGACAGCUAUUUUCAGGAAAAUGAAAAGUACUGGGUGAAAAAGGUUUUGACAUUGCGUGAAAUAUGGGAUUUACACACAGUAGUUUUCACCGUGUGUAUAUAAAUGGGUGAUUUACCAUAUAUUGAUUCACACACCAUUUGUAAGUGUCUAAUUUAUUUAUUUGUAGAGAUGUAUGGAAACCCUGGUUUGAAAAGCAGUUUGCAUAACAUCUGGUAUGUCAACAAUGUAACCUUUCAAUUUACUUGUUGGUGAAAAUGUCAAUAUAAUGAACCUGAACUCAGCAUUGGUUUACACAAAUUUCCUGGCAGACAAAGCAGUAAUGAUUUGCAUGUCAGUGUAAGUGACACGUGCCCUCCAGUUUUGAAUUGUUUAUAUGACAAAGAGGUAUGAAAGGAAUCAAGCACAUUGCUGGUUACUUACAGACUUGUGCUGGCAGUAUAAACUGCAUGUAUUUGUAUAGUGUGAAACACUGUCUCAUUUUGACUUCCAGUUUUUCAGAAAUGGCCUUUGAUUUUUCCCUGAAAUGGCUUUUUUUUUUUUUUUUUUUGAUACACAGAAGAAAAGAGUAAAAUUGUAGCCCUGAAGGUGACUUUAGAUCCUGGUACUAUGCAGUCCCUGAGCCUUUCCUGGGUACAUAUUGUUUCAAUUACUUUUAAAAUUUAUAUGCUUUCUAUAGACAAAGAUGUUGUACUUGGAUAUACUGAUACUUGGAGAGGAAUCUAGUAGACUCUUGAUUGCUGUUAAAAAUAUACCAACAGCAAUGACAACAAUAAUACAUUGUUUUCACCUCUUAGAUUACUGCCCUUAUGAGAUAGGUCACAUAAAUUAUAUGGCCUUUUUUUUCACUCUGUGACUUGUUGCCUCAAACUUUUGGAGCAGAAAAAUAAUAAUUGCUUCUAAUACAGAAUAGCAACAAACUCACUUUGAGAGCAGAAUCAAAGUCCAUUGAUGCCAUCAGAUGUUCCUCCUGAAUUUUAGAGGGUUUAGGCCUGUAUAGAGAAGUUCACUGCCUAACUCAUGUCUCCAAACUACGUGUGUGAGAAGGUGGGAGACCUGCUCUUAAAAAAAUGCAUCCCAACCCAUCAGUCAGCCUUGCGUUGCAGUAGGUGCUGCGCCACCGCCUGACGCCCGCCAGCCUCGACGAUGCCGCUCGCGGCCAGCUUCGCUCCCCUCCGUGUGCCUUUGCAGGAAGGGUGCUGGGUUGACAGAGCAGGUUAUCUCCUUCCGUUUCUCUUCCUUCCUUUCCUCCCCUUGUUCUCCACCCCAAAGAUCUGCUUUGCGGUUUGGAUUUCAAUCAAGUUACCAAAAAAGAAAAAAGAAACAAGUAGGGGAGGGAGGAGGGAAGGAGAUAGUUACUUAACUAGCUAGUAUAUGCCUUUUCUUUUUCCUUUCUUUCUUUCUUUCCUUUUUUUUUUUUUUUAAUUUUAAAGACCAGAUGCUAUCUGUUUCCCAUUGUUCUGCCCACACUAUCCGGUUUGGAUCUGAUUUUGGGUGGCGUAUGUCUGUACGUGUGAGGGAGAGGGUCACAGCGAAGGCAGUGUGUGUCUGUUACUAUCUGACAGCUUUAAAAAAAUUAAAGCCAUGUACGACCCCACAGUCACAGCUAAGAAAAAGUAAUUUCACAAGGCUUUCCAGAGCUUUUAAUUUUGCAGGAGAGUUUCUAAUAUAUAGUCUGAAUAAAUAGACUGAACCAAUGAUAA